rnacentral:misc_RNA from 1 species
AUAUCUCCUACACGCCUCUUCAUUUGUUGGCGCAAGCAUGUUCUUGGCUAAAAUUGGGUUUCCUGUGCUAGAUACCUAUCAUGAUGGAAUUUUGUUGGCUAUAAUUGUCGGUUUUCCGUUGUGUGCUGCUACUCCAAGUUGGAGAAGUGGUGCGCUGUGGACCUCAAGGCACUCAUUGUGUCUCGCACCGUCACACCUAUAUUGGUGUUUUGGUUGAUGAGCCACAAUGCAAUGCUUGAUAUCUCGGGUGCGGAAUAUCUCGUGGGUAUGAGGCCAUGGCCUCUGAUCACCACAACAACAAGCGUUCUACGCUUCGUGCGAAUGACGGUUGGUUCGAUCUUUGAACGUGCUCUAGUAGCUCGUUUGGAGUCGUGCCGAUGUCUG